UACGAAGGGGGCUAGCGUUGCUCGGAAUCACUGGGCGUAAAGCGCACGUAGGCGGGUUCUUAAGUCAGGGGUGAAAUCCUGGAGCUCAACUCCAGAACUGCCUUUGAUACUGGGAAUCUCGAGUCCGGGAGAGGUGAGUGGAACUGCGAGUGUAGAGGUGAAAUUCGUAGAUAUUCGCAAGAACACCAGUGGCGAAGGCGGCUCACUGGCUCGGUACUGACGCUGAGGUGCGAAAGCGUGGGGAGCAAACAGG
rnacentral:rRNA from 1 species